UACAGAGGGUGCAAGCGUUGUUCGGAAUUAUUGGGCGUAAAGGGCGCGUAGGCGGUGCGGUAAGUCUGUAGUGAAAUCUCUGGGCUCAACUCAGAGUCUGCUAUAGAAACUGCCGUGCUUGAGUGUGGGAGAGGAGAGUGGAAUUCCUGGUGUAGCGGUGAAAUGCGUAGAUAUCAGGAGGAACACCGGUGGUGUAGACGGCUCUCUGGACCGUAACUGACGCUGAAACACGAAAGCGUGGGGAGCAAACCGG
rnacentral:rRNA from 1 species